rnacentral:rRNA from 1 species
AAACACGGACCAAGGAGUUUAGCGUGUGCGCGAGUCAUUGGGUGUUAAAACCUAAAGGCGAAAUGAAAGUGAAGGAAACUUUGUUUUCGAGGGAGGAUGGGUUAGGUCCCUCUCGAGGGCCGGCCUCGCACUCCCGGGGCGUCUCUAUCUCAUUGCGAGAGGAGGCGCACCUAGAGCGUACACGCUGAUACCCGAAAGAUGGUGAACUAUGCCUGGCCAGGACGAAGCCAGGGGAAACCCUGGUGGAGGUCCGCAGCGAUUCUGACGUGCAAAUCGAUCGUCGGAGCUGGGUUUAGGGGCGAAAGACCAAUCGAACCAUCUAGUAGCUGGUUCCCUCUGAAGUUUCCCUCAGGAUAGCUUGCGCUCGGAUGAAACGAGUCUCAUCCGGUAGAGCGAAUGAUUAGAGGCCUUGGGGUCGAAACGACCUCAACCUAUUCUCAAACUCCAAAUAGAUGAGAACCCCGGCUUUCUUGAACCCCGUUUAUGAAGCCGGGGGCUCGGAUCAGAGUGCCAAGUGGGCCAAUUUUGGUAAGCAGAACU